rnacentral:rRNA from 1 species
UACGAAGGGGGCUAGCGUUGCUCGGAAUCACUGGGCGUAAAGCGCACGUAGGCGGCUUUCUAAGUCAGGGGUGAAAUCCUGGAGCUCAACUCCAGAACUGCCUUUGAUACUGGAGAGCUUGAGUCCGGAAGAGGUGAGUGGAACUCCGGGUGUAGAGGUGAAAUUCGUAGAUAUUCGGAAGAACACCAGUGGCGAAGGCGGCUCACUGGUCCGGUACUGACGCUGAGGUGCGAAAGCGUGGGGAGCAAACAGG